GCCCUUGUAGCACAGUGGCAGUGCGUCCCCCCGGUACGGGGAAGAUCGGCGGUUCGAAUCCGCCCUUGGGCU
rnacentral:tRNA from 1 species